rnacentral:rRNA from 1 species
GACGAACGCUGGCGGCGUGCUAACACAUGCAAGUCGAACGAUGAAGCUGGAGCUUGCUCCGGUGGAUUAGUGGCGAACGGGUGAGUAACACGUGAGCAAUCUGCCCUUGACUCUGGGAUAACUGCGGGAAACUGUAGCUAAUACCGGAUACGAGGCUCGAAGGCAUCUUCGGGUCUGGAAAGAAUUUCGGUCAAGGAUGAGCUCGCGGCCUAUCAGCUUGUUGGUGAGGUAAUGGCUCACCAAGGCGACGACGGGUAGCCGGCCUGAGAGGGUGACCGGCCACACUGGGACUGAGACAAGGCCCAGACUGCUACGGGAGGCAGCAGUGGGGAAGAUUGCACAAUGGGCGAAAGCCUGAUGCAGCAACGCCGCGUGAGGGAUGAAGGCCUUCGGGUUGUAAACCUCUUUUAGCAGGGAAGAAGCGAAAGUGACGGUACCUGCAGAAAAAGCACCGGCUAACUACGUGCCAGCCGCCGCGGUAA